GGAGUGUAUCUCAGUGGUAGACCAUGUGCUUAGAUAUUAGAUAGCACAGGCCCAGGGUUCAAUCCCCAGCACCACCA
rnacentral:tRNA from 1 species